rnacentral:lncRNA from 1 species
GGGGCCGGCGAGCGCCGCUUCGCCUAUAGGAAAUUCGCCGUGAGUCGUGCGGAGGGGGCGUGACUCAGCCAUGAGUCGGGGCUUGGAGCCAAUAGGAGCAGGGCAACGGGAGGGCCGGGAGCCAAUGAGGAGACUGGCGCGGCGGCCGCCUGUGAAAGUGGCGAGGCGGCGCGUUAGGGGCAGGGAGGAGAUGAGAGAGAUACAGAGGAAACAAAUCCAGAUUCCCUCCCUUUGUUUCUCUUUGCGAGUGGAAAAGAAGACUUCAUAAAGCACACGAGGGCUCAUCUUCGCCGUCCAAAUGUUUAAAGGGGUGACUUAAUGGCUCAAAUAUUAUAUUCUAGAAAGACCCUGAGUUAAACAGCAGCGAAAUGACUGUGUCAAAGAGCAAAGUGACAGUGCUGUUACAGGCCCUCUGCCUCCCAGGCCACAGCUGCACCUAUUGGCUUCAUUGUCCCAUCCCUCCUACGCACAUGCAUGCCUGGCGUUGUUUUGGAAAUACAGCAGAAACUUGAUAAUUCAAACUGAUGACCGGGGGAGCCACUUGUGGAAUUAAUUUAUCGGGUAAAUUAGUGACUACAUGUGCAGGCAAUUUGUAAUAUAUAUAUUUUAAUCUUUAUUUUUUUUUAAAGAGAUGCUGUGUCAUUGUGUACGAUUUGUUCAGUUUCUUGUAACAGUCUGGUUUAAUUGUCACUGCAUUAAUUUUGGUAUCCUGAAACAGUUUUUGCUCGGUAUUUUAAUAGUGAAGUGUUAAAAGAUCUCGGCAUAGUUCUACCCUUGUUUUUUCAGUCUUUGAGGAGAAUUGGGUUUUCAGUUCUUCGACAGGAGGUUAUAAUUUGGGAUUAGAAAUUAAUCCGUAGCACCUAUUUUAUGGUGCGGGAUUUAUGACAUGCCUCAGAGGUUAAACCAUAGCCCCCCAGUACUCUGAGCUGUGCUGUAGGCUGAUUUGAUUUCAGCAGGGCUGCCUGACUAAGACAAAUAGGAUUUGAUCCUCACUGGGUAACUUUGGUCAGAUUCCAGGUGGCCCUUAAGACUUACGAUUUCCAUCUCAGUAUUAGAAAAUAAAUGUGUUCUUUUUUGCUUAUUUUUCA